rnacentral:rRNA from 1 species
AGUGAACGCUGGCGGUAGGCCUAACACAUGCAAGUCGAACGGCAGCACAGUAAGAGCUUGCUCUUACGGGUGGCGAGUGGCGGACGGGUGAGGAGUACAUCGGAAUCUACUUUUUCGUGGGGGAUAACGUAGGGAAACUUACGCUAAUACCGCAUACGACCUACGGGUGAAAGCAGGGGAUCUUCGGACCUUGCGCGAUUGAAUGAGCCGAUGUCGGAUUAGCUAGUUGGCGGGGUAAAGGCCCACCAAGGCGGCGAUCCGUAGCUGGUCUGAGAGGAUGAUCAGCCACACUGGAACUGAGACACGGUCCAGACUCCUACGGGAGGCAGCAGUGGGGAAUAUUGGACAAUGGGCGCAAGCCUGAUCCAGCCAUACCGCGUGGGUGAAGAAGGCCUUCGGGUUGUAAAGCCCUUUUGUUGGGAAAGAAAAGCAGCAGGUUAAUACCCCGCUGUUCUGACGGUACCCAAAGAAUAAGCACCGGCUAACUUCGUG